rnacentral:lncRNA from 1 species
UGUAAUUCCAAUAAUACAUAUAUAUUGUCUUUACUGUUAAACCGAAUUUUAAAAAUUACAGUUUCUUCAAUAGCAGCUAGCCAAAUUUCAAUAAAGGUUUUCUGUCCAGUGAUGAAUGUAUUUUGUGUUUUGUUUCCUUAGGAGAUCCAGCAAUUUGUGAUGGUGUGACACGCCAUUUCUUUGCUACCAUCAUGGGCAAAAUUCAGCGUGGUUUUGAAUCCAGUACGUUUUUUUAUUGUAUCCAUUUCUUUAAUAUAUAAAGGGGUCUAAUGAUACCUCAGUGCUUUAUUGCAGAAGAAUAUCUAUUCCAUGACUAUUUACGUGAUUUUGUGCUCUCUAAUUUCAAGUUCCAGGAGCAACCCUUUUGUUUGAGGGUGAAGAAGAUCACCUUACUCCCUCCACUUCCCAGCUCCUUUUGGAGAGCGACAUGUUUGUUAUUGCAGGAUGACUGAUAGGUCACUCAUUUCUUCAUGAUGGUCUAUGCCUCUACAGCCUGAGCCCUGCAAUUGUGCAUGUGCUCUGUGGUGGAUCCGCAGAGGAAGCGACAAUUGAACUGGAGGAUUGUGCGGACCUUGAUAUCCGAGAGACUAUCAAAUUGGUAAG